rnacentral:rRNA from 1 species
UACGAAGGGGGCUAGCGUUGUUCGGAAUCACUGGGCGUAAAGCGCACGUAGGCGGAUCUUUAAGUCAGGGGUGAAAUCCUGGAGCUCAACUCCAGAACUGCCUUUGAUACUGAAGAUCUUGAGUCCGGGAGAGGUGAGUGGAACUGCGAGUGUAGGAGGUGAAAUUCGUAGAUAUUCGCAAGAACACCAGUGGCGAAGGCGGCUCACUGGCCCGGUACUGGACG